rnacentral:rRNA from 1 species
UACGAAGGGGGCUAGCGUUGUUCGGAUUGACUGGGCGUAAAGGGCGUGUAGGCGGUCGGCCAAGUCUGGUGUGAAAGCCCGGGGCUCAGCUCCGGAAGUGCGCCGGAAACUAGCUGGCUGGAGCGCGGUAGAGGAGGGUGGAAUUCCUGGUGUAGCGGUGAAAUGCGUAGAUAUCAGGAGGAACACCGGCGGCGAAGGCGGCCCUCUGGACCGUUGCUGACGCUGAGACGCGAAAGCGUGGGGAGCAAACAGG